AGAGCGAACGCUGGCGGCAGGCUUAACACAUGCAAGUCGAGCGGGCGUAGCAAUACGUCAGCGGCAGACGGGUGAGUAACGCGUGGGAACAUACCUUUUGGUUCGGAACAACACAGGGAAACUUGUGCUAAUACCGGAUAAGCCCUUACGGGGAAAGAUUUAUCGCCGAAAGAUUGGCCCGCGUCUGAUUAGCUAGUUGGUGAGGUAACGGCUCACCAAGGCGACGAUCAGUAGCUGGUCUGAGAGGAUGAUCAGCCACAUUGGGACUGAGACACGGCCCAAAACUCCUACGGGAGGCAGCAGUGGGGAAUAUUGGACAAUGGGCGCAAGCCUGAUCCAGCCAUGCCGCGUGAGUGAUGAAGGCCCUAGGGUUGUAAAGCUCUUUUGUGCGGGAAGAUAAUGACGGUACCGCAAGAAUAAGCCCGGCUAACUUCGCGCCAGCAGCCGC
rnacentral:rRNA from 1 species